ACUCCUACGGGAGGCAGCAGUGGGGAAUAUUGCACAAUGGGGAAACCCUGAUGCAGCCAUGCCGCGUGUGUGAAGAAGGCCUUCGGUUGUAAAGCACUUUCAGUAGGGAGGAAGGUAGUGUAGUUAACACCUGCAUUAUUUGACGUUACCUACAGAAGAAGCACCGGCUAACUCCGUGCCAGCAGCCGCGGUAAUACGGAGGGGUGCGAGCGUUAAUCGGAAUUACUGGGCGUAAAGCGCAUGCAGGCGGCCUGUUAAGUCAGAUGUGAAAGCCCGGGGGCUUAACCUCGGAAUUGCAUUUGAAACUGGCAGGCUAGAGUCUUGUAGAGGGGGUAGAAUUUCAGGUGUAGCGGUGAAAUGCGUAGAGAUCUGAAGGAAUACCAGUGGCGAAGGCGGCCCCCUGGACAAAGACUGACGCUCAGAUGCGAAAGCGU
rnacentral:rRNA from 1 species